GAUGAGCACUUGAAGCCUAAAGUGGGUAUGACAUUUGAAGGACUCGAGGCAGUAGAGAAGUUCUACAAGGCAUAUGCACAUGAAUCAGGUUUUGGUGUUCGAAUCGGACAACAGAAAAAGAUUGAUAAUAAGGUGGUCCGGACUAAGCGUUUCAUGUGUAAUAGGGAAGGAUUCAAGUCAAAAGAUAGUAACGAGACAGAUGACCCCUUGAAGAAAAGGCGUAAGCAAACAAAUACGCGAUGCGGUUGUGAUGCCCAUAUCUUUGUUAGACUUUGUGGGGACAACACCUAUAAGAUAGACUCAUGGGUUGAGCACCAUGUUCAUGGUCUUGUAUCACCUAAUAAGCGGCAUUUGAUCAGAUCGAAUCAUACAGUUAGUGAGAGG
rnacentral:rRNA from 1 species